GUCAUAUCUUACCUGACCAGGUAUGGUGGUGAGGACUGAUGAUGUCAUAUCUUACCUGACCAGGUAUGGUGGCGAGGACUGAUGAUGUCAUAUCUUACCUGACAGGUAUGGUGGUGAGGACUGAUGAUGUCAUAUCUUACCUGACAGGUAUGGUGGUGAGGACUGAUGAUGUCAUAUCUUACCUGACCAGGUAUGGUGGUGAGGACUGAUGAUGUCAUAUCUUACCUGACCAGGUAUGGUGGCGAGGACUGAUGAUGUCAUAUCUUACCUGACAGGUAUGGUGGUGAGGACUGAUGAUGUCAUAUCUUACCUGACAGGUAUGGUGGUGAGGACUGAUGAUGUCAUAUCUUACCUGACCAGGUAUGGUGGUGAGGACUGAUGAUGUCAUAUCUUACCUGACCAGGUAUGGUGGCGAGGACUGAUGAUGUCAUAUCUUACCUGACCAGGUAUGGUGGUGAGGACUGAUGAUGUCAUAUCUUACCUGACCAGGUAUGGUGGUGAGGACUGAUGAUGUCAUAUCUUACCUGACCAGGUAUGGUGGUGAGGACUGAUGAUGUCAUAUCUUACCUGACCAGGUAUGGUGGCGAGGACUGAUGAUGUCAUAUCUUACCUGACCAGGUAUGGUGGUGAGGACUGAUGAUGUCAUAUCUUACCUGACCAGGUAUGGUGGUGAGGACUGAUGAUGUCAUAUCUUACCUGACCAGGUAUGGUGGUGAGGACUGAUGAUGU